AAUGAACGCUGGCGGCAUGCCUAACACAUGCAAGUCGAACGAGACCUUCGGGUCUAGUGGCGCACGGGUGCGUAACGCGUGGGAAUCUGCCCUUGGGUUCGGAAUAACAGCUAGAAAUGGCUGCUAAUACCGGAUGAUGACGUAAGUCCAAAGAUUUAUCGCCCAGGGAUGAGCCCGCGUAGGAUUAGCUAGUUGGUGAG
rnacentral:rRNA from 1 species